CGCUAGCUACAGGCUUAACACAUGCAAGUCGAGGGGCAUCAGGAAGAAAGCUUGCUUUCUUUGCCGGCGACCGGCGCACGGGUGAGUAACACGUAUCCAACCUGCCCUUUACUCGGGGAUAGCCUUUCGAAAGAAAGAUUAAUACCCGAUAGCAUAAUGAUUCCGCAGGGUUUCAUUAUUAAAGGAUUCCGGUAAAGGAUGGGGAUGCGUCCCAUUAGGUUGUUGGUGAGGUAACGGCUCACCAAGCCUUCGAUGGAUAGGGGUUCUGAGAGGAAGGUCCCCCACAUUGGAACUGAGACACGGUCCAAACUCCUACGGGAGGCAGCAGUGAGGAAUAUUGGUCAAUGGGGGCUAGCCUGAACCAGCCAAGUAGCGUGAAGGAUGAAGGCUCUAUGGGUCGUAAACUUCUUUUAUAUAAGAAUAAAGUGCAGUAUGUAUACUGUUUUGUAUGUAUUAUAUGAAUAAGGAUCGGCUAACUCCGUGCCAGCAGCCGCGGUAAUACGGAGGAUCCGAGCGUUAUCCGGAUUUAUUGGGUUUAAAGGGAGCGUAGGUGGACUGGUAAGUCAGUUGUGAAAGUUUGCGGCUCAACCGUAAAAUUGCAGUUGAUACUGUCAGUCUUGAGUACAGUAGAGGUGGGCGGAAUUCGUGGUGUAGCGGUGAAAUGCUUAGAUAUCACGAAGAACUCCGAUUGCGAAGGCAGCUCACUGGACUGCAACUGACACUGAUGCUCGAAAGUGUGGGUAUCAAACAGGAUUAGAUACCCUGGUAGUCCACACAGUAAACGAUGAAUACUCGCUGUUUGCGAUAUACAGUAAGCGGCCAAGCGAAAGCAUUAAGUAUUCCACCUGGGGAGUACGCCGGCAACGGUGAAACUCAAAGGAAUUGACGGGGGCCCGCACAAGCGGAGGAACAUGUGGUUUAAUUCGAUGAUACGCGAGGAACCUUACCCGGGCUUAAAUUGCAGUGGAAUGAUGUGGAAACAUGUCAGUGAGCAAUCACCGCUGUGAAGGUGCUGCAUGGUUGUCGUCAGCUCGUGCCGUGAGGUGUCGGCUUAAGUGCCAUAACGAGCGCAACCCUUAUCUUCAGUUACUAACAGGUCAUGCUGAGGACUCUGGAGAGACUGCCGUCGUAAGAUGUGAGGAAGGUGGGGAUGACGUCAAAUCAGCACGGCCCUUACGUCCGGGGCUACACACGUGUUACAAUGGGGGGUACAGAAGGCAGCUAGCGGGUGACCGUAUGCUAAUCCCAAAAUCCUCUCUCAGUUCGGAUCGAAGUCUGCAACCCGACUUCGUGAAGCUGGAUUCGCUAGUAAUCGCGCAUCAGCCACGGCGCGGUGAAUACGUUCCCGGGCCUUGUACACACCGCCCGUCAAGCCAUGGGAGCCGGGGGUGCCUGAAGUACGUAACCGCAAGGAUCGUCCUAGGGUAAAACUGGUGACUGGGGCUA
rnacentral:rRNA from 1 species